UAGGGAGGCAGAGAGAGCUAUUGAGAGUGAGCUGGCAAGAGAUAUAUAUGGAGAGGGAGCUAGAGAGGAAGGUAGGGAGAAAGAGAGAAAGAGGGGGGGGGGAGAAUCUGAAGAGAGCUGGAGAAGGACAUCAGGAAGGAGUCUGUCUGAUGCUGAUCUAGGUCACUGCGUCUGGAAGCGCAGUCUGGAGCUGCAGCCUCAGAGCGAUGCGAGAGCCCCACACCCCCCACUCCCUCUCUCCCUCCCUGCCCUCUCCUCCCCCCCAACUCACCCCCAGUCUCUUCCAGCCCAGGUCUCUCCCAGCCUCCAGGGCAGAUGGAUGGAUGGUGGAGGGCUGGGACAGGACCCAGAGAGACCCACCCGAACCCGGAGCCGCCUGGACCGCCCGGGAGAACACAGGCAGUCGGAAGGAAGGAAAAAGAAGGAAGCCAGGCAGGGGGAAGGACCGGAGCCAACUGGAACACAAGAAGAAAGAAAGAACAAGUCACUCCCAGCUCUGUGUUAUUCAUCUUGCUUUGAGACAGCGUGACAGCGUUGGGUCGUGUUGUGUUGGUCGUGUUGUGUAACCAGGCGUCGUGUGUAUGUGUGUUUGUUUGUGUGUGUGUUUGUGUGUGCGUGUGCGUGUGUGUGUGAGUGUGCGUGUGUGUGUGUGUGUGUGUACUGACAGCAGUGGGGUGGGUGAGACGGAGAGACUGACACCUGCUCUGUCUGCCACUAUCCACAGGCCCUGAACACAC
ensembl:lncRNA